GGAGGGUGCAAACGUUGUCCGGAAUUACUGGGCGUAAAGGGCGCGUAGGCGGACUUGUAAGUCAGGAGUGAAAACUCAGGGCCCAACCCUGAGCCUGCUUCUGAAACUGCAAGUCUUGAGGACCGGAGAGGAAAGUGGAAUUCCUAGUGUAGCGGUGGAAUGCGUAGAUAUUAGGAAGAACACCAGUGGCGAAGGCGACUUUCUGGACGGUACCUGACGCUGAGGCGCGAAAGCUAGGGGAGCAAACAGGAUUAGAUACCCUGGUAGUCCUAGCUGUAAACGAUGAGUGCUAGGUGGUGGUAGUUUCAACGCUUUCACUGCCGAAGCUAACGCAUUAAGCACUCCGCCUGGGGAGUACGGCCGCAAGGUUG
rnacentral:rRNA from 1 species